GAGAACUGGAUGUAACAGAUACGCGUCUAUGGUCACUCUGCUCAUGACAUUUUGACUCUUGGCUAGGAAGCACACAGUCAAUAGGAUGUGAUAUUAAACUAGAAGUGGAUUGUCUUCUUUCAGUGGCGUAAUUGUGCUCAGUCCUUGUUACUUCCAACAUUUCAUCUUUUCCAUCAAUGCAGCUAACCACUUCUGAGGGCAUCGCUGCAGAGACAGCCGGAUCCAACUGAUGAUAAUCUGUAAACUGAGUUUGAAAUCUGGCAUUGACAACCGCUGUUCUGUCCAUUUCACAGGAUGCGGGUUCCGGUUUCAGAUGUAUGGAGCUCCCGAAUUUCCCUUGGCCACCAGGAUCUUCAGCCACGUACACGUCAUCACGAGAUACUUCGACCUUCGCGCCAUCAGAUUGUGACGAAGCCAGUGCCUCUGUUUGCCGUCUUGAACAAGGAGUUACUUGAUGAUCACCAGAACUCCGCUUCAGUGGCGACGAUGAAGGUGCACCAUCGGAAAGAGUACUUCGGGAGAAUGUGGGAGUUUGAUGCCAUCCAAGACUCUCUCGACCUUCAGCUUGGGCUUGAGCUGAAAAUCGUUC
rnacentral:lncRNA from 1 species